UAGUCUGCAACCCGACUACACGAAGCUGGAAUCGCUAGUAAUCGCGAAUCAGAAUGUCGCGGUGAAUACGUUCCCGGGUCUUGUACACACCGCCCGUCACACCAUGGGAGUCGGGAAUGCCCGAAGUCAGUGACCCAACCUUUGGAGGGAGCUGCCGAAGGCAGGUCUGAUAACUGGGGUGAAGUCGUAACAAGGUACC
rnacentral:rRNA from 1 species